CGGGUGUGUAAGCGCAGCGAUGCGUUGAGCUAACCGGUACUAAUGAACCGUGAGGCUUAACCUUACAACGCCGAAG
rnacentral:rRNA from 20 species